rnacentral:rRNA from 1 species
GCCUAGGAAUCUGCCUGGUAGUGGGGGAUAACGUCCGGAAACGGACGCUAAUACCGCAUACGUCCUACGGGAGAAAGCAGGGGACCUUCGGGCCUUGCGCUAUCAGAUGAGCCUAGGUCGGAUUAGCUAGUUGGUGGGGUAAUGGCUCACCAAGGCGACGAUCCGUAACUGGUCUGAGAGGAUGAUCAGUCACACUGGAACUGAGACACGGUCCAGACUCCUACGGGAGGCAGCAGUGGGGAAUAUUGGACAAUGGGCGAAAGCCUGAUCCAGCCAUGCCGCGUGUGUGAAGAAGGUCUUCGGAUUGUAAAGCACUUUAAGUUGGGAGGAAGGGCAGUAAAUUAAUACUUUGCUGUUUUGACGUUACCGACAGAAUAAGCACCGGCUAACUCUGUGCCAGCACCGCGGUAAUACAGAGGGUGCAAGCGUUAAUCGGAAUUACUGGGCGUAAAGCGCGCGUAGGUGGUUCGUUAAGUUGGAUGUGAAAUCCCCGGGGCUCAACCUGGGAACUGCAUUCAAAACUGACGAGCUAGAGUAUGGGUAGAGGGUGGUGGAAUUUUCCUGUGU